UACGUAGGGGGCGAGCGUUGUCCGGAAUGACUGGGCGUAAAGGGCGCGUAGGCGGUUCUUUAAGUUAGGAGUGAAAGUCCAGCUUUUAAAGUUGGAAUUGCUUUUAAUACUGGAGGGCUUGAGUGCAGAAGAGGUAAGUGGAAUUCCCAGUGUAGCGGUGAAAUGCGUAGAGAUUGGGAAGAACACCAGUGGCGAAGGCGACUUACUGGGCUGUAACUGACGCUGAGGCGCGAAAGCGUGGGGAGCGAACAGGAUUAGAUACCCGGGUAGUCCCUGAGCGGG
rnacentral:rRNA from 1 species